GAUGAACGCUGGCGCCGUGCCUAAUACAUGCAAGUCGAGCGAAUGGAUUAAGAGCUUGCUCUUAUGAAGUUAGCGGCGGACGGGUGAGUAACACGUGGGUAACCUGCCCAUAAGACUGGGAUAACUCCGGGAAACCGGGGCUAAUACCGGAUAACAUUUUGAACCGCAUGGUUCGAAAUUGAAAGGCGGCUUCGGCUGUCACUUAUGGAUGGACCCGCGUCGCAUUAGCUAGUUGGUGAGGUAACGGCUCACCAAGGCAACGAUGCGUAGCCGACCUGAGAGGGUGAUCGGCCACACUGGGACUGAGACACGGCCCAGACUCCUACGGGAGGCAGCAGUAGGGAAUCUUCCGCAAUGGACGAAAGUCUGACGGAGCAACGCCGCGUGAGUGAGGAAGGCUUUCGGGUCGUAAAACUCUGUUGUUAGGGAAGAACAAGUGCUAGUUGAAUAAGCUGGCACCUUGACGGUACCUAACCAGAAAGCCACGGCUAACUACGUGCCAGCCGCCGCCGUAA
rnacentral:rRNA from 1 species